GGGGCACUAUAUUAAGAGCCUGUUUUGGACAUAAGAAAAUUCGAUCCUCUGUUUUUUUCAAACAGUGUUUGGUUAUAAAAAAUUUACAAGAUUUUCAAUCUCGAAAAUGAAUUUUCAAAUUUGAAAAACGGGUGAGAAUUAGUUUUUCAAUUAAAAAUGGGAAGGUUGCUAGUUUUUAGUUGCAAAAUAUGUUGAAAAAGAGACAUCCAAAUAUGUUGCAAAAAUUAUAACCAAACACAACUUCAUUUUCAAUUCAAAUUUUAGUGAAAUUCUAAAUUUGAAUUUUUUUUGGAAUUCAUGUCCAGCACUGUGCUGUCGGUUUUGAUCUCCGAUUUACGUUCUGAGAAUUUUUCAGGAUAAUGUAACAUUUGCAGCAGUAUUCUAGCGCGAUGACUUUGAAUCUCGAUUUUGACUUGUGUGAAUUUGUGUGUCUAUUUCUUUCAGUUAUGAACGUGAUCUAGAAGGUCAUUGCCUAGUCUAAAUUUUAUCGUUUCAAUUUCUUUAUUUGUUUUGCGAUUGAGUCAUGAAUUUAACCUAGAUCCUCUCCUAGGUAGUUCUCUGCCUCUCACUUUGUAUCCCUAAGUACAGUCAUUGACCCAAAUGCACUCGCAACAGUUCCUUUCAACCUAGGAGGUCACUGCCCAGUCUGUUCCUCACAGUAUUCAUUUCCUAUUUGUAUAAUCCAUUUAUCUCCAGGUGGUUUCCUCGGCUGUCUUUUUGACAAGGUUAAUUAUCUUCUUCGAGUCUGUUUUGUUUGUUUAAUAUGAUCUUGUCUUGCCUUCUCCCCAGCAAUGGUUCUUCUUGUGUUUCCUUUUGUGUUUUGAUUUACUUGUUGGGGCAAUUUGUGCUUAGGUGACCGUUGUAACUCCGCCUGCAUCAGCCGGUCCCAAGCCCGGACUGAGGAGAGAAGGUGUCAAGUGUGCUACCAGUCUAUCUCUGGUUUUUAAUCAGUAGCAAUGUUUUCUGGAGUUGCCUUUGAAUGUCUGUCUUAUAUAUCUUGAGCUAUUUUAAUAGAGAAUCUCCUUCCUAAAUCUGUCAGUGUUUUUUGGCCAUCUCUUUGUCAUGUUUGAUUAAAGUUACUAUCACUUAUCAGGAAUUACGUGGCUGCUAGAUAAAAUGUCUCAAGAUGGAUUAGUGCUUGUGUUGGCAGAUUGAUUAUACUAGAGAAGUUUCAGUCAGGUGUUAUUGCUUAUCAUGCAAUGGGAAAUUAGAAACGGCGGUAACAACUUAUUUUCGUGCUUCUUCAGCGAAAAGGAUCGACCAGUGUUUUUGAUGAUUUGAGGAAAUACAGUCUGUUGUACAUCUGCUACAAUAUUUUGAUGAUCCAUCUUCGCACUGGAAUGUUGGUCCGUUCUUGAUGUCUAUAAAUGGCUUCCAACUCAAUAUUCAACUAUAGUGUAAUAAUCUGGUUGUUAGCCAAUGCUACUGGGUUUUCAUGGAUGCUGCAGACUGCAACUCAAGAAAUCACUUUGCAAUGGUAAUCCACUUGGGAGCCAUGGAGAAGGUUCUGAUUAACAUGUGAGAUAUCCAUGUAUGCUGACUCUGUCCUUUUUUCUUCUAUGUCUACUCCAAUUUAUUGAUAAUCCAACUUUUGCAUUGGAUAAUUAUUCCAUCAUUGAUGUCUAUAAAUGAUUUCUUUUACUGCUGCAACAUAAUACUCUUCACUAUUUGCUAUUCGCUUUUGUGGUCUUUAUGGAUACAGCAGACUGCGUGCAAAUGGUGUCAGUUUGGAAUGGUGGCCAACUUCUUCCUUUUUUUUUGUGAUAAUUGAGUUCUCGAGGGCCAGUGGUGCAAAGUCUAAAACUUUGUGGAUAAUAGGCCUGCUCUCUAUCUCCAGUUGAAUGCUAAGCUUCUAUUUACGGAAAGGUUUGAACCCGUGAUUUGCGCCUAACUCGCACAAAAGGUUGCACACUUACCAUUAAUCGAAUUCGAGAUUGUGGAACUGAUGUUCACAUGUGUGGUCGCUAUGGAUAGCAGACUAUGUCCCAAUUUCUGGUGUGGAGGUAUUGUAGAGGAUUGUAGUAUUUUCUUUUUCCCCGUCUACACCAAUGUAAUGAUGAAAGCACCUUUCCAUUUGAAAAUUGUUUCGUUAAUGAUGUCCAUCAAUGACUUCAUUAUUCAACCAAAUAAGAGGUUUGUGUGUGAAGGGGUGUUUGCAAGGUUCUUCUGAAUUUAUUCUGGACAGUUGGUGAGCCUUAUAUAUCCUCGUCAUCUUCAUACAUUCUUGCCUGCAUGCAACAUAAUACUCUUUACUAGUGCUUGUGUGGUUUCCGUGAAUGCUGACGCCAAAUAUCAGUUAGAAAUGGCAACUAACUCGACCGCGACAUCCUGGAAAUGAGGUAUGAUGUGUGGUUUUCAUGGAUGUUACACAAUAUGUCUAAAUUUCAGUUUGCAAUGGUGCAAUCGAACUGAUAUAAUAUGGCUGUGGCAAAUGGUAGUGUUUGGCUGAUAAGUCCUUUCCCUGUUUCAAAACAAUAUUUUAGCUGUGAGAUACGAUUCAAAAGUGUCCUAAUACCAUGCUGUCACUUGUGCCUUGUGGUCUUUAAUUUGAAGGUCGAUUCAAAAGCAUUGAAUACUAUGAGACUUGCUUUCUCAGGAAGGUCUAAGCAUCCCCAAGGCAAUAUUGUGUAAUAGUUUGUACCUUUGAGUGUGAUAUGAAAUGCCGUGCUCGAAUUUGGCUCUGAUUAUUCCUUUGUAGAUGUCUCUGUUUCUAACAAUCUCACAGGUAUGGACUACAAAGCGGGACUGAUAUUACCAUGUGGCUUACGGACAGGAUCCGAAGCUGCAGUCAUGCGAGCUUUUGGUCUUUGGAGAUCACAGGUUGUUUGUUCUGGAUAUACCUAAUCAAAGAAGUUUGUAUAUUAGAAGAUAAGGUGAAAUCUCACUAUCUCAUAAUAUGUUAAGAGUUGUUUGGAUAUGAUAUAUUUUUAGUUUCUUUAUCCAUUAUUAGAUUUGUGCUCUCAUAACACUAUGUAUAUUCGUCAUGCAUUUGCUGGCUAUUGUAAUGGUCUUUCCUGAGGGGCCAUGUUGUGGUAGUGACGGGUCUUAUUGUGGCUCUUUUUCUGGACGCCAAUAUAGUUUUAACACGGCUAGCUCUAAAUACAUUCACAUAUUUUUCUGAACUAGAAGUAUGUAAAGCGAGACUAAUUUAUUGAAGCAUUCCUCUGAA